GAUUGAACGCUGGCGGCAUGCCUUACACAUGCAAGUCGAACGGCAGCACGGGUGCUUGCCCCUGGUGGCGAGUGGCGAACGGGUGAGUAAUACAUCGGAACAUGUCCUGUAGUGGGGGAUAGCCCGGCGAAAGCCGGAUUAAUACCGCAUACGAUCUACGGAUGAAAGCGGGGGACCUUCGGGCCUCGCGCUAUAGGGUUGGCCGAUGGCUGAUUAGCUAGUUGGUGGGGUAAAGGCCUACCAAGGCGACGAUCAGUAGCUGGUCUGAGAGGACGACCAGCCACACUGGGACUGAGACACGGCCCAGACUCCUACGGGAGGCAGCAGUGGGGAAUUUUGGACAAUGGGCGAAAGCCUGAUCCAGCAAUGCCGCGUGUGUGAAGAAGGCCUUCGGGUUGUAAAGCACUUUUGUCCGGAAAGAAAUCCUUGGCCCUAAUACGGUCGGGGGAUGACGGUACCGGAAGAAUAAGCACCGGCUAACUACGUG
rnacentral:rRNA from 1 species